CUAACCUAAUUUAAAUUAUUGAACUCAAAACAUAUAAUGAGAUUUGAAAUAUGACAUGUAAUGUCACCUUAGGAACACAAAUGGAUUCGAAUCUACAAUUUUAUAUUGAAGAUCUUGCAAACCAACUAAUCAUGGGCAGUGAUCUUCCAUCAAACCAACUAAUCAUGGGCAGUAAUCUUACAAACAAACCAUUACCUUAAAUAUUCAGAUAAUCUCGAUCUAGAUGAACCUGGAUCGUGUAAUAUUUUCCUAAAUAGAAGAACACGCACUCACAGCAAUUGAAGGGACUAAAAACAAGACAUGUUUUUUCUGCCAUCCCAUGAUGUAGAUGUAGAGUAGAGUUCUAUGAUCACAAGGCAACUAGGGAUGUAAUUGAUUCUAAGGACUAUUUUCAAAAGAAGUCUUGAUUAUUUGGAGAGCGAAGGGCUGGUUCUUGAAAGACGAGUGCAAGUGGUGGCGGCGGCACUAUGGGUUCCAGCUCUCUUCAGUGGAAAUGGAAUUAGGGCUAGAAAGUUUGAUAGAAAAUAGUGCCUUUGUAGCCUCGCCAUUUUGACUGGUCCAGCGUCGACGUUCAAAUUUGAAAAUUCAACGUGCCAAGAAAACCAUUCAUUCUUCAAGGAAUUGCUUUGAGGAAACGUUAAUGCUCAAUGAUAACAUCAUGAAAAAAUUAAUAAAAAAAAUCUUCAUCCUUAUCUCUAUCUUAA
rnacentral:lncRNA from 1 species